GAUGAACGCUGGCGGCGUGCCUAAUACAUGCAAGUCGAGCGAACGGACGAGAAGCUUGCUUUUCUGAUGUUAGCGGCGGACGGGUGAGUAACACGUGGAUAACCUACCUAUAAGACUGGGAUAACUUCGGGAAACCGGAGCUAAUACCGGAUAAUAUUUUGAACCGCAUGGUUCAAAAGUGAAAGACGGUCUUGCUGUCACUUAUAGAUGGAUCCGCGCUGCAUUAGCUAGUUGGUAAGGUAACGGCUUACCAAGGCAACGAUGCAUAGCCGACCUGAGAGGGUGAUCGGCCACACUGGAACUGAGACACGGUCCAGACUCCUACGGGAGGCAGCAGUAGGGAAUCUUCCGCAAUGGGCGAAAGCCUGACGGAGCAACGCCGCGUGAGUAAUGAAGGUCUUCGGAUCGUAAAACUCUGUUAUUAGGGAAGAACAUAUGUGUAAGUAACUGUGCACAUCUUGACGGUACCUAAUCAGAAAGCCACGGCUAACUACGUG
rnacentral:rRNA from 1 species